rnacentral:snRNA from 1 species
AUACUUACCUGGCAGGGGAGAUACCGUGAUCAGCAAGGUGGUUCGCCGAGGCCCAGCCAUUGCACUCCGGCUCGCUGACACCUGCGAAUUCCCCAAAUGUGGGAAUCUCGACUGCAUAAUUUCUGAUAGCGGGGGACUGCGUUUGCGCUCUCCCCUG